CCGCCCGGGCCGCCCGUGCCCGCGGGGCUGCGCCAUGGGGGCGGCCCGGGAGACAACCGGAGCGUCCUGGAGCCUGCCCAGGGUGGGCAGGCUGUGGGGAGGGGGUGCCUCCCCCACGGGCUGCCUCGCCGAGGGCUUCCACUCUGCUGCUGCUGCCGUAUGAGGGGAUCCCAAUCCUGUCUGCCCACUCCCCUCCCCACCCGUGUUUCCUCUACCCGUCAAGGAUAGCCCCCCCUGCGGUGAGGAUGGGGCUACUGUGAUCUGAGACAGCCCCCAUCUUGCCCCUCUGAGCACUCCCUGCCACUUCCCAGAUCCCUAAUGGGGUACAGGAUGCUCCCAGCACUGUUCCUAGGGGUCUGGAUAUGGGCAUCUUCACAUUGGGUCUGCCCUGGCAUCAUCUCUCUCUGGGGCAGAGGGGCCUGAGCCAAGCCCAGGGUGGGUUUCUGCCACGUCCCACGGACAUCUGCUCUGAGUCCAGCCCUGGUCACCCCAAGAGACUCAGCCAGGGCCUGACCAAGCCCACCAGCUUCAUUUGAGGCCCUGCAUCCUCCUAGCUAUGCCCCAUCACCGUCAUCCCUUCCUUCGUCCUUUCCUGAGGGCAGCCCACCUCUCCAGUUUUGCAUUAAUACUGCUUCCCCUCAUUUUUAUCCCCUGCAAUCACUGGGCUUAUCCCAUUCCCCCCCCCAGCCCAUUCCCUCCUCCAGGGCAGGCCCCACAGUUAUAGCCUGGGCAGUGCCCAGCGCCAUGGGGAAGUCAGGAAAGGCUGUGGCAGCUGGAGGUGAUAUUUAAGAGGCACGUGUGAGCCUGCAGUCCCUUCCUCUUGGACACCUUUCAUUUUGUCACUCCUUCACGACGGUUGACACAGGGCUGAUCCAGGUUCCAGCCAAGGGCAGGAAUGUGCCUAAUGAACUUGUUCUCGCUGUUUCUCCAGCAGGAUUGGCUCAGGUAUGGACCUUGUGCAGCAUCACUCUUUGGACUUUGAGCGCUGCUCUCCUCCACCGCCUUCCCCGGACGGCCGGCACCCCUGGAGGUGUUUGCAGAGCCGAGCCCCAGCGAUCGCUCGUCUGCCAGAGGACAGGGCCGCGCUUUGCUAAUCCACUGCGGCGUGCACAUCUGUGGGGAGGCUCAGAAAAAAGAAAGCAAAGGUGACUGCAGCUGAAUCCAAAAUGGGCAGCAGAUCCAAACCACGAGUAAUUUCCUACAGGAACAUUUCUCAGGCAAGAAUGGAGAGCUGCAAGGAGCUCAGAGCCAUCUGGUCCAAGAAACAUGGCAAUUCCUUACAAACAGUUCCAGAGUAUCCCUGGGAAGUUUUUGGCUAUAGUUCCUUACUAUUCUCUUCCUUCAGAAAUGUCCUGGGACAAACUGGUGCCAUUGGCUCCUUCCAAACUCCACUGGUGAGCUGGUGGGUGCCAGUCCCUCCGUGGGCAGGACCUCCUGGAGCACCAUGGAGCACACCAGGGCCAGCUGCCCAUAUUGGAGAUGCCCUGGAAGGGGGCUCAGUCUCCCUUGGGGAUGUUGAAGCCUUUCCAUGAACACAGAGAGAGCCUGGGUACAUUGCUCCAAGAUGGCCAAGCUCUUCUCUUAGGGGCAGUUCUCUGGGAAAGGUCUCAGCCAGGGGAUGAAGGCCCCCCAGGCUGUUUGUUAGGUGAUUACAGUAAAUGACAGGCAGCAAGGCUGGAGCUUUUGUGUUAGUUUAAACAAGGGCAUCAGAGGAAGCAUCUUUGCUCAAUCUGGGAGAUCCUUUUUUUGUACCAUACGCAAGCCAUGGAUUAAUCAGCAAUAGCACGUAGCCCAGCUUGCUCAAUUUACUAAUAUUUAUCUGACUAAGACUCUUUUUUCCUGAGAAGCUCGAAAUGUCUCAUCCCACUGAGUCAGUGAUUUACCAUUACAUGUUGUAAACUGCUGCAGACAGUCAUGGAGCAGUUGUGAGGAGCUGGGAAGAAAAGAUGUCAUUUCCCCUCAGCCGGUCCUUGGCUGUGCUCUGCAGCAGACAGCCAAAUAAGGGUGGGAAUGUGCCAAAUCAAACCUGCUUAGGACAACUCCAGGCACUUACUUCAAUUCCAUACUGGGAUUAAAAACUGGGGGGAGAGGGGCUGUUUUGCUGUUUCUUUCCACAGCAGCCUGGGCAUGACUGUGUGUGUAGUGUGUUCCCCACUUUGGAUGUGGUAUAGGUGUUUAGUUUGGUUAUUAAAACAAAAAUGGAAAAAGAA